UAGCCUAACAACAGUUCAGCUGCUUUUACCUUAUCUGUGCUCGAUUCUUGUUUGGGUUUUAGCAGGAACGUGUCCAUAGACUGGGAAGCCUCCUUCUGAGCAACACGUUUUUUGUGAGUCUCGCAUUGUCUGUGUCAUUUC